CCUAGGGGGGGCUGCAGUGGGGAAUAUUGGACAAUGGGCGAAAGCCUGAUCCAGCCAUGCCGCGUGUGUGAAGAAGGCCUUCGGGUUGUAAAGCACUUUCAGUGGGGAAGAAAGCCUUGGGGCUAAUACCCUCGAGGAAGGACAUCACCCACAGAAGAAGCACCGGCUAACUCCGUGCCAGCAGCCGCGGUAAUACGGAGGGUGCGAGCGUUAAUCGGAAUUACUGGGCGUAAAGCGCGCGUAGGCGGUCUGAUAAGCCGGUUGUGAAAGCCCCGGGCUCAACCUGGGAACGGCAUCCGGAACUGUCAGGCUAGAGUGCAGGAGAGGAAGGUAGAAUUCCCGGUGUAGCGGUGAAAUGCGUAGAGAUCGGGAGGAAUACCAGUGGCGAAGGCGGCCUUCUGGACUGACACUGACGCUGAGGUGCGAAAGCGUGGGUAGCAAACAGGAUUAGAUACCCGGGUAGUC
rnacentral:rRNA from 1 species